rnacentral:rRNA from 1 species
UACAGAGGGGGCGAGCGUUGUUCGGAAUUACUGGGCGUAAAGGGCGCGUAGGCGGCCAACUAAGUCGAACGUGAAAUCCCCUGGCUCAACCAGGGAACUGCGUCCGAGACUGGCUGGCUUGAAUCCGGGAGAGGGAUGUGGAAUUCCAGGUGUAGCGGUGAAAUGCGUAGAUAUCUGGAGGAACACCGGUGGCGAAGGCGGCAUCCUGGACCGGUAUUGACGCUGAGGCGCGAAAGCCAGGGGAGCAAAC